GUGCCAGCAGCCGCGGUAAUACGUAGGGGGCAAGCGUUGUCCGGAUUUAUUGGGCGUAAAGCGCGUGUAGGCGGUCAGGCAGGUCUGACGUGAAAUCUCGAGGCUCAACCUCGAUCGGUCGUUGGAAACCACCUGGCUAGAGUCCGGAAGAGGAGAGUGGAAUUCCUGGUGUAGCGGUGAAAUGCGCAGAUAUCAGGAAGAACACCGAUGGCGAAGGCAGCUCUCUGGGACGGUACUGACGCUGAGACGCGAAAGCGUGGGGAGCGAACAGGAUUAGAUACCCCGGUAGUCC
rnacentral:rRNA from 1 species